AUGUAGCACAAUGGAUAGCGCGUUGGACUUCUAAUACAAAUGUUGUGGGUUUGAAUCCCACCUGGGAUG
rnacentral:tRNA from 1 species